rnacentral:rRNA from 1 species
UACGUAGGGUGCGAGCGUUAAUCGGAAUUACUGGGCGUAAAGCGUGCGCAGGCGGUCGCGCAAGUCAGGUGUGAAGGCCCCGGGCUUAACUUGGGAAUGGCACUUGAAACUACGUGACUGGAGUGUGGCAGAGGGAGGUGGAAUUCCACGUGUAGCGGUGAAAUGCGUAGAGAUGUGGAGGAACACCGAUGGCGAAGGCAGCCUCCUGGGCCAGCACUGACGCUCAUGCACGAAAGCGUGGGGAGCAAACAGG